UACGUAGGGUGCAAGCGUUGUCCGGAAUUAUUGGGCGUAAAGAGCUCGUAGGCGGUCUGUUGCGUCGGCUGUGAAAACCCGAGGCUCAACCUCGGGCCUGCAGCCGAUACGGGCAGACUAGAGUUCGGCAGGGGAGACUGGAAUUCCUGGUGUAGCGGUGGAAUGCGCAGAUAUCAGGAGGAACACCAGCGGUGUAGACGGCUUUCUGGGACCAUUGCUGACGUGAGAACACGAAAGCGUGGGUAGCAAACAGG
rnacentral:rRNA from 1 species